rnacentral:rRNA from 1 species
CCCUUAGAUGUUCUGGGCCGCACGCGCGCUACACUGAUGCAUUCAACGAGUCUAGAACCUGCUCUGAUAGGGGUGGGUAAUCUUUUGAAUGUGCAUCGUGAUUGGGAUAGAUGAUUGCAAUUUUUCAUCUUCAACGAGGAAUGCCUAGUAAACGCAAGUCAUCAGCUUGCAUUGAUUACGUCCCUGCCCUUUGUACACACCGCCCGUCGCUCCUACCGAUUGAAUGAUCCGAUGAAUAUCAUGGAUUGAGGAUUAUAGCAGGUUCGCCUGUCUUGAUCUUCGAGAAGUGAAGUAAAUCUUAUCAUUUAGAGGAAGGAGAAGUCGUAACA